CUCAGCAGCCUUUUUCUGACGCUGAGGACCCUGGCCAAAGAAGAUGUAGUUCACCAGAGCAUACUCCAGCAGAGCCAGGAAGACAAACACAAAGCAGCCCAUGAGGUGUAGCGGAAAUGGAGAGAAUAAUAUUGGACCCCGGAGGACUACCUUGGUGCCUGGAAAAGGUUCCUGCAGAUGACAUUUACUGUGUAGGAUCUGAAGACUUCAUUACCAUGGCAAUUCCAUUCAAAAACGCACUAUUUGCCGACUACCAGUGAUGCAUCAUUUGAUAUUUAAGGUAAUGACAGCAUUCAGAGCGCAGUCAGCCCCCACUGCCAGCUGCUUCCCACCCACAGCCUAUCAUGAAAACAUAAGGGUGGUGGAUCUUAGGGAAAAUAUUGCUGUUUGACAUUUUUACUGCAAAAGGCUAAUUAGUUGAUCUCUGAUUAUUGCAUUUUUAAAUCCUUAAUAGUCAAUAAAGCUGUGGAAUUUAGAUGUCUUGCUGUUGCCUCUGCAUGUUCCCCCGUUUUGCUAUGAUAAACAGCUCAGCAAGUGACUUUAUGUAUUCCUAUACCCAAUAUGUCUAUUCAGGAAAAACAUCAUGUUCAGAAACACAAGUCAUACACUUUGUAACACACACAUGCAGACUAACACCAGGUUGGACCUAUUUUUGCUUUCAGAACUAUUUUCCUUGUGGGGAUGCUGCUGAAUGAAUGAUGAAUGAAUUGAAUGAUUUUAAUCGUUUAAUAAAAGCCCUACAAACAUGUUAGUUCCCAUUUAGAAUUCUGAAUUUCCUUGGUGUGUUAAUUAUGAAUCCUGGUAUUUAUGUAUUUUUGAUGCAUAACAGUUGACAAGGUGCCACUGAAUUUUAUCAACUUGGAUGACAUUUAACCUUCAUUCCAAAAUUUCUAAAUAAAUCUAACUUGUUGUCCAGUGAGAUUUAUAGCCUACAUGUUUUUUCCUCUUCAUGCCGCGUGUUUUUGACUACUGCCACUUAUACUUCGGAAUGACUUUUAGAAAAGCACUGUCACUUUUGUCUUAGGUAGCCCAUGUUUUAUGCACAGCUUACAUACUUAACUUCUUCACUUUUAAAUCUUGUGACUGUGUCCUUGGCUUCCUUGCACUAAUGUUCUUUCCUUUGUUUUUUUUAACAUCUUUCUAACUUUCAGACAUUGGAAUUACUAUAACCAUUGUGAGCUACAAGUUAGAAUAUAACUGGAUAGGAAGAGUUAUAAAAAUGAUUCAAUAUGCCCUUUAAUGCCACAGUCUUCCACUGCUGCUAUCAUCCAUCUCUUUUAACAACUUUUAAUGAAAGCUGAAAAGAGAGAAGGGAUUCCUUACCGCUGUGGUUACGCAUUUCCUCACAUUUAGAGAAAAUAUACCACAAUACAACAUGUCAUAUUAAGUGACAGUGCUUCCAGCUUGAGGAACUGAAUAAAAGUUGAAAGUCAAACCUCUGAAAACAGAAAUGGUUUGAAAACUUUAACUUCAACCAAUAAUGAAGAAAGGGAUUGUUACUUUGCACUCUGGGCUACAUGCAAACUCAUUUAACAGUUUAAAUCAAAGCUGUUUACUGGAACAGAUAGUUUUAUUAUUUUAACCGUUGUAGUGUAAAGGGACUUAAGAAAAAAAAAAUCUGCAAGCCAAUUACAGUAUGCUGAAAAUAACAAAGAUGGAGCGUGAGUACAGAACUAAGAUGAGAUGAAGACCAGAUGGAGCAAAUGACAACUUAAAAAAAUGCAAUUUAAAUGCCUUUAAAUGUUCAACCACAUAGGUAAUUGGAAUGGCUCUUUUUAAAAUUAAGUUCAUUCACCAUAUACACAAUCUUUGAAUAAACUGUUCAUCAUUCAGCCAUGGUGCAUCACUCAUUAACUAUCAGCCAAUCAGAGGAGACGGUGGUGUCUUAUUCAGCCAUUGUAGCUACAAGCUUCUUUACCUGAAUACUAUGUACUACGUAUUCAACAUUUUAGGGAAAUUGUAGUCAUCAAUUUUACAGAAGAGCUAUGGAUUCAAUUCAUUUGAAUGAUGCACAUCUUUUUAAUGAACUGUCUUGCUGUGAGAGCUCUGGUUCAAGAUCCCCCCGAACCCCCAUCAAAACACUACCAACUAUGAAGAAGACUACUUCCUGUUGUCAUCUUAAUGGUUUCCAUUACAGUUCUAUGAAAUACAUCUAUUUUGAUGUAACCUCACUAGGAUGAGGUGCACUAGGAUGCACCUCAUCCUAGUGCAAGAACUUUCAUUUCCAAAAUUGAGUUAUUUUGAAAUCGGUGUGUUUUCAUGAAGCAAAUUUAUUUGAAUUUCAAAUUGUUCAAUUCUAUAGUUAAUGGAAAUACAGCUGGUGUUUCAAGGCACACACAGGGCCCUCUCUGGAGCCAGACCAGGACAUGGGGCCCGCUGGCAAGCAUCUCAUGGACGUCCUUUUACCCAUGGAGCCCAGCCAAGCACAGCCCAAAGAGAAAACCCAAGUGAUUGAUCCAAACACUAAUCAGUGAAAUUGUUUUUCCUAAAAUGUCUGUCUUUAACAUCUUCUCAAUCUUGGAUGUCUUUAAAAAGGGGCAACAAGGUGAGAAACAGCACUGCCUAAUGCCAUGCUACAUACAGGAGGAGAAAACUUCACCUACAUUUUCUUUCUUAUCUCUUCAAAAGAAUUUAUAUUUUAGGUUUUAGACUGUAACUUUAAAAAGUAGUCUCCACUAUAAAACAUCUUGUUAAAUAAAACAAAAAAAAACCUAGUCAUUGCAAGAAAACAGAAUCAACACACUUUAAAAUAUGCAUAAUUAAGCUGCAUUGUAACAAUGACUACAAUAAAAGCAUCUAUAUUUGCUGAAUUUAUUUGGAAAAAUCAUUUCAAAGUGCCAGAACUGAGCAGAUGAUUAGCCUGCAAACUGGUGAGCGAGAUGCUAAUCCCUGGUGUACAUUAAAACAGAGAAGUUUUUCAAUUUGAAAUUUAAGGUCCUUUAAGUCUUUGCAAAACCCCUAAUCUAACAUAAAAGUCAUUUAUUACACAUAUCUCUGCUGCACCCAGAAGUUAUAUUGUAUUUCCAUAAUUCGCCUCUGAGUGUAGAUUUACUGCUAUAGUGAAGGUGAAAAAUUCAUUUGGUUUAAAGUUUAUGUUCUAACUUACUGAAAGCACCCAUCAUUAUUUACUUUAUUUGUGCUUUAAAGACGAACAUGAAAUCCAACCCAGACGUCUUGUAAUGUAGUUGUAAAUACUACUUCAAGAGAUUAAAA